UAACUACUCCCUCCGUCCCAAAAUUCUUGUCUUAGAUUUGUCUAGAUACGGAUGUAUCAAGUCACGUUUUAGUAUUAGAUACAUCCGUAUCUAGACAAAUCCAAGACAAGAAUUUUAGGACGGAGGGAGUAUAUC
rnacentral:pre_miRNA from 1 species